UGGUGGCGUGCUUAACACAUGCAAGUCGAACGGUGAAGCCCAGCUUGCUGGGUGGAUCAGUGGCGAACGGGUGAGUAACACGUGAGCAACCUGCCCUCCACUUCGGGAUAAGCCUUGGAAACGAGGUCUAAUACCGGAUACGAGCACUUACCGCAUGGUGGGUGUUGGAAAGUUUUUCGGUGGGGGAUGGGCUCGCGGCCUAUCAGCUUGUUGGUGGGGUAAUGGCCUACCAAGGCGUCGACGGGUAGCCGGCCUGAGAGGGCGACCGGCCACACUGGGACUGAGACACGGCCCAGACUCCUACGGGAGGCAGCAGUGGGGAAUAUUGCACAAUGGGCGAAAGCCUGAUGCAGCGACGCCACGUGAGGGAUGACGGCCUUCGGGUUGUAAACCUCUUUCAGCAGGGAAGAAGCGCAAGUGACGGUACCUGCAGAAGAAGCGCCGGCUAACUACGUGCCAGCAGCCGCGGUAAUACGUAGGGCGCAAGCGUUGUCCGGAAUUAUUGGGCGUAAAGAGCUCGUAGGCGGUCUGUCGCGUCUGGUGUGAAAUCUCAUGGCUCAACUGUGAGCUUGCAUCGGGUACGGGCAGACUAGAGUGCUGUAGGGGAGACUGGAAUUCCUGGUGUAGCGGUGGAAUGCGCAGAUAUCAGGAGGAACACCGAUGGCGAAGGCAGGUCUCUGGGCAGUUACUGACGCUGAGGAGCGAAAGCAUGGGGAGCGAACAGGAUUAGAUACCCUGGUAGUCCAUGCCGUAAACGUUGGGCACUAGGUGUGGGGCCAGUUCCACUGGUUCUGUGCCGUAGCUAACGCAUUAAGUGCCCCGCCUGGGGAGUACGGCCGCAAGGCUAAAACUCAAAGGAAUUGACGGGGGCCCGCACAAGCGGCGGAGCAUGCGGAUUAAUUCGAUGCAACGCGAAGAACCUUACCAAGGCUUGACAUGUACGAGAAAGCCCCAGAGAUGGGGUUCUCUUUGGACACUCGUACACAGGUGGUGCAUGGUUGUCGUCAGCUCGUGUCGUGAGAUGUUGGGUUAAGUCCCGCAACGAGCGCAACCCUUGUCUCAUGUUGCCAGCGGGUUAUGCCGGGGACUCAUGGGAGACUGCCGGGGUCAACUCGGAGGAAGGUGGGGAUGACGUCAAAUCAUCAUGCCCCUUAUGUCUUGGGCUUCACGCAUGCUACAAUGGCCGGUACAGAGGGCUGCGAUACCGUGAGGUGGAGCGAAUCCCAAAAAGCCGGUCUCAGUUCGGAUCGGGGUCUGCAACUCGACCCCGUGAAGUCGGAGUCGCUAGUAAUCGCAGAUCAGCAACGCUGCGGUGAAUACGUUCCCGGGCCUUGUACACACCGCCCGUCAAGUCACGAAAGUUGGUAACACCCGAAGCUCACGGCCCAACCCUCGGGAGGGAGUGGUCGAAGGUGGGACUGGCGAUUGGGACUAAGUCGUAACAAG
rnacentral:rRNA from 1 species